UGGGGCUCAGGAGUUAGCUGCUCUGUUUGUAUUCUAUUACUACAAUAAACUAGACCUUUUUUUUACUACCUUUACAUGUUAGUGGUGUGUGUUUCUUACAGAAGUAUACUGCAGCUCUGAGACCCAGUACAUAGAGGUUCAUCAGAAGUAUACUGCAGCUCUGAGAUUCAGGAAUAUCUUAAAGCAGUGCUUAUAUAAAAAAAGAACAUCUGUGUAUUUCUGGAAUAUUACUGUAUCUUUAAUGUUGGGAUGCAAGUCUGUUAUGAUCAGGGACCCUAGGAUUCUGUUUGCUGUGGAAUAACGUGGAAAAACACGGAUUGUCUAUGCUGUCUGAGAAUUUUUAGUUUACAUUUGCAAAAAACAUGCAAGGCUUUUUUUGGUUGUUUAUAACCAAAUCAAUACACUUAUCAUAUAUAAUCAUCAACACAGGCAAUUUUGCUUUAAAUUUAGUAAACAUACUUGUUCAAUAAAACUGCUUCUGGUGAACGAGACACACUCACGUCACACUCAUGCUGAAACAUAGCUGCAGAUUACUUCACAGUGUGUUUUUACUACUCAACAAUUAUAACCUUUUAUUGUAAUUGCAGAAUAAUGCUUUUUUUUUUUUUUUUAAUCGGAGAAUUUUUUUUUUUUUUUUGUGGAAAACUAGGAUCCCUGGUUAUGAUCGGUUUGUUUGUCUGUUUUAUUUUCACCUCUUUCAGCUGUUUUUGAUGCAAGUGGAAGUGUUUACGUAUGCUAAUACUAUCACAGCACCUUUCAUCAACAAACCUGAACACCCAGACUAACUAUAAAGCCGCGGUUAUCCUUACUCCGGGCUGUCAGAAUCAAUCAGGUAAGUCUUGUCAUAACUUUUGAUUUCUGUACCGUAUUAAAAUGAUUAAGGGAGGGUAAUAUGAAUAGUCUAUGUGCAGCGAAGUGUGCGAUGUUCUCCUGUUUAACAUCAGAUAGUGGUUUUCAACAGACUUUCAAAAAGCAGUCCUUAGAGUACUUAAAGUUGUGAAUCUUAUUCAAACGAGGAACGUUUAAAAGACGCACUGAGUGGUUCUCAGUUUUGUUACAGUAAUAGGUUUCUUCAUUUUUCAAAAAAUAGGAGUUAAUAAACACUUUGAAAUUGGGUUGAUCCAUGUAUUUAAAGUUAUUUAUGUCUUAUAAUAAGUGUGCACAUUGUAGAUUCGGUGCUUGUCAGGAAACGAGAUGUGACUAAAUAUAAUGCAAUUAAACCAGUGUUAGCCUGUGAAUUUCAGGUUUGCCAGACAGUGCCAGACAUUUCAUAUCAUUAAUAACUGUGCAACCAUGUGCUUGAAAACCAUAGACUAGGUUAACAGCUGUCUUUGAGACUGUACACAUGCAAAAUAUAUAUACAGGCUUUUUCUAUACAUGGUAGAUGUGGAUCUGUAGGUACUAGUUUUGUUUUCUGUUUCUUCAUCACUAUAGACAAAUCAGUAGGCGAGAAUCUCAGCAACCUUAUAUGGCACCUUGGUGAAUUUGCAUGAAAUUGCUUUUAAUAUUACCAGCAGUAGUGAUGUUAAAAGUUUCAGAAUAAGGGUUAGUUGAGUGGAUCAUCUGGUAAAGGCAUCAUGUGGUGUGCCGUAGACCCCCAAGUCGCCACAGUCAGUCAGCAUCAUCAUUUCACUGGAGUCAGUUGUCGCCGAGAUUUGAAUUAGCUGUCGGUUUUUUAAGUUGAUGGGAUAUAGCUAGGCUUGCUACUUUUUGAUUUUAAUCGGUAAAGCUUGUUAAACAUCAAAUUCCCCAAAAAUAUGAGUUCGACUGAAAUAAAUGUAUAUAGGAUAAACGUGUGUAAAACCACUCGCUAUUUUUUAUUUUCUUACCAAAAAUUAUAAUUUAGAAAUCAUCUCUAGUUUGUGUAGUUCUUAUACUUGCUGUCUGUCCCGUCUCCGUUCCGCUCUGAAUGGCUAGGGGUUGCUGUCAGUCACCUCAGUGGUCCUUUAGUAGGCUACUGUAGUUUCACUGUCAGUUAUUUCAUCCCGAUCUGAAAGAUCCCGUUGACUGAAGCAGCACUAGAAUAAGCUCAUUCGUUCAAAUGACUGUCAAUCAUCAAACCUGCACCAACUGUGCACUUUCAUUUGCCAGCUAUAGCGCCUGUCAUUCUAAGUGCCUACUUCGAAAUUAACGAGUUAAGGUAUAGGUAAGCUUUUGCUAUAUGUACAGUAUAUGGUGACAGUUACUAGUUUGAUUUGAAAAUGGGGCGCAAGAGGAAAACACUUAAUGAGUAACGUACACAAUACCCUGACCGAUGGCUGAAGUCUCCGCGGCAGGACGAAGUGGCCCGUCUGCUUUGCCUUCCGGUGAGUCCGGCUGUGCUGAAGCGGAAAAGGGAGGACCUCAGACUCUGAAUAAUAAGUGCAAGUUAGUUCUGUUCAACUAUUUAAUGUUUGUUCUGUGCAUAUUAUUUUUACUCGUAAAUGUAUGCUAUACAUUUAUGUAACACACUUUUAUAUGCUGCGUUUUCUACGGUUUAUUUGAGACAAUUGUUUAAUUUGUGUAGGAUCUUUAUCUUUACAAGGUUAACUCCGCUGUGACCAAACGUUAUUUCAGUUAGAAUGUUGGUAACCAUGGUUUUCUUGCAUGUUGAAUAUGAUAAAAGGGUUUCUCAAUGGCAUAAAAAGUCUAUAAAGGUCGAUUUCACCUGUUCUUUGCUUGAAUUGAAAAACAAAGGUAGAAAAACUGUAAAAUUCUUUCUAAAAUAAACAUUGAUAUUAAUUGUCGAGUUCUCAAAAAAAUAUAAAUCGAAAAAUAGCUAGAUAUAUUUUGUGUGGUGUGAUUUUGUCACUCUGUUUUGGAACCAUAACCCUGUCUUCUAGAGCAGGAAAUAAUUAGCUCACCAGUUGGUUAUAUUUAAAUAGGUUGGUACCUGUAUGUUUAUUAUGUACAAGACAGAAAAUAAAAUAAACAAACAAAAGCCCAACUCCAAUCUGGAGUGCUAACUAAACUUUUGACCAGGUCCUAACUAAGACCAGACAGCUACGCCAUUUACUGGUAACCAAGCACUCACUCUUUUCAUUAGAAUACCUUUUUACAAACGUCUUUUUCCGGGUCUUUGCCUUAGCCUUAACACCAACCCUGACAAAUGCACCAACCCCUACUUAAAUACCUAUUUCAAUUGCUAACAGGUGUUUAACAUUAACUACCUGGAAAAAUCAUGUACGGCCAUGCUACCUAACAGCGUUCUGGGAAAUGUAGUCUUGACGCAAUAUAACAAGACUACAUUUUCCUUUCACUGAGGUUAGGAUAAAGAAAGUGAAAAUAAUCUCUUUAAAGCCUUGUUUUUAAACAACUUUUCUUUAUGUCCUGGACAGCUAUAAGUGUGAUAGACAGACAAGAGUGAUAACCAGCUUGCACAGAUGAAUGCCGGAUGAAGCGUGCUUGUACUGCGAGGGCAGGACUUCUGGUAGCUGGUUUCUGCAUUGUGCUGGAGGGGGAGAGACAAUGGCGCCAAUGAAGUGGAUUGAUGAGUUGUCGCAAUGCCUUAAUAACAUGAAGACACAUAUAGUAUAGAUAUGACUGCAUGUAUCCGUGUCCUGAAACAAUGGAAACAGUUUAUCAACAAUAUUAUUUCCGUUUACGCUCAGCAAGCAUUUUUUCUUGCUUACAAUUUUGGGCUGCUGGGUCAUAUCAACAGCAGGGGAACUGAAGAGAGAGAGACGAAGCAAGUGUGAAGAUUGGCAGCUGGACUACAGGGCAGGCCCUGCGCAGCGGGAGUGACAGAUACGGCUGUCAUGGUGGAUGCGUGGAAGGGGACAGCUGCUGGUUCUAAGCAAGAAAUCCUAAUUUCGAAACGCAUUCAGUGACUGAAGAAAGAUGUUUAGAGUGCAGAGAGGAUAAUAAUAGCUUCAGAAUUAGUCAAUCAAAAGAUCAAAGGGUGAUAUCACAGAAAUGUUUAAUAUAAGUUGAAGCCGAGGCUAUACAUUGAUUGUAAUAACCAAUAUAUUUAGUGCAUGUUUGAAGGCCAGAGUUGAGAGGGGUAUUAGCAAAUUCUGCCAAUAACGAAGUCUUAAAAGCAGACACUGGAUUCAGUUCAGAUACAGCUCAUGCACUACACUGUAGUAGUAAUCCCCCUUGUUUGAAUGCACAGCUUUUACAGCGGAACACCAGAGUACAACAGCUCUGAACUGGGUUCUAUUUGAUAAACACCUGCCUAUAGACCAUUUUUUAUUUGUUAUUGUCACAAAGACGGCCAGAGUGGGUGGCGUCAGACCAGAAGCAGGAAUUCAGAGACACAGACGGUGGUGAUGAUGAGCUGAGUGCAAUGGCUGCACUCAGCGUUUAAUAACAAAAUAAAAGGUUUAAACAACGGAAUACAAAACAGGACACGGCACUUGCGCCAAAAUAAACAGACAUACAAAACGACUAACACUAAACAAACGGUGCACGGACAGACAAACAAACACGGUUCCACAGGUUCCCCAGGUACGUACAGAAUACUGGCUAUUACAGGUGGUGAUAACCUUUUCUUUUCCCUUUUUCGCUGUUUUCUGGAUUUUAAUACUUUCUUGUUAUUUUGAUAAGCUUUAAAUAAUUCUGUUUCAAAAAAGGGAAGCAGACCAACUAAGCUCUCUCGAGACUCUAACUCCACCUCACUCUUUAACUCGGGGUUCUCCAAUUCCCUGUUCACUUUCACCGGGUUUUCAAACCCUGCAAAAUCUCUUCCCAGAAUUACUUGGUGGGGCAACCGAGGGAUUUGUGGAGUAGUAGUUAGGGCUCUGGACUCUUGACCGGAGGGUCGUGGGUUCAAUCCCUGGUAGGGGACACUGCUGCUGUACCCUUGAGUAAGGUACUUUACCUAGAUUGUUCCAGUAAAAACCCAACUGUAUAAAUGGGUAAUUGUAUGUAAAAAUAAUGUGAUAUCUUGUAACAAUUGUAAGUUGCCUGGAUAAGGGUGUCUGCUAAGAAAUAACUAAUAAUUAUAAUGACCCUCAUCUCAUGAUUACCUUCCUCACACAAGAUUUUAAUGUGAGUGGUCAGGUAGUACUUAAUAUCCCCAUGGAUGCAAGUAAUUUAGGUUCUGGGAUUUUUAUCCAGUUUUGUAGUGCUCAUGAAUUCAGGAGCCACCAAGAUAAUUGCACUGCCUGGAUCAAUGAGAGCUCUGACCUCUCUUACGUUUAUCGAAACAUUUACAAGAUAGGGGUACUUGCCCUCAGGCAUACUGGCCACAAAGAUACUACCACAAAAACUGUCAGUGCUAGUGCAUUGCAUUGGUUCAUCUCCAUCAGUGCACCUCCUAGCAAUGUGACCCCAUUUUAAACAUUUAUGAUCAAUCAUGAGCUUGGAAUUAGUGUUCUAACUAACACAUUGGUAAAAAUUGAGAUCGUAAUUAUUGCACACAGCAUUCUGAUACAUGCAAUUUAUAUUUCAGUCUAAUCAGACAGCACAUACAGUUAGACAGCGGCUCACAGCAGGGGUCCCUUCAGCCAGACACCAGUGACAGCACUCCAAUGCAAACGUACUGUAUCGGUAUCUUUGCAGAAGUGCAGGGUCUAUGCAGUCACACAGCAGUUUAUAUGCAUGUUUGGCCAAUGGCCUUUUGAGUUUUUAUUGUAAAGUGCCAUGGGAUGCUCUGCAUGAAGAGCACUAUAUAGAAGCAACGGUAUUGUAUAAAAGAAAGAAUAUCACCUUCAUUCAAUACUAGGCAUUCUAACUGUAAUUAACAUGGAACCGCAACAUGUUUUUAUAAUACUGAAAACAAUACUUUUGUUUGAUAAGAUGCUGUAAAAUGUUAUCCACCUGAGAGAUUCUGCUAGGACUUGAAGGCUAUAAUGAAAUUGCCAUGGAUAGGAGAGGAAAUUUGGUUUUUAAUGAGUUGUUAAAAAAAAAAAACAUGCAUUGCUUAUGUUUUCCAGAAAAAAUAAAAUAAAUGUUAAAUUUGUGAUAAACAUAAUCAGUUCUGUGUUUAAUUAAAACAAAUCUAUAUAAAAAUGUCAGAUGGAAUUAUGUACCUCACACGAUAUUAACUCUAUUAAGUUACAAGGUUCCAUCUGCAAAAGCACCCCUCAAAAGAAUCCCCCAGAAAUGCAUGGUGGGCCUAUGGGUAUCUCGCUAUGAAUUGCUUUCAGGUGAUGAAUACACAGGGAUAGAACAGACAAAGAUGUUACUGAAUAACAUUUAGAUGUUGUCUAUGAAAACUUUACAGCUUGAUUACUCAAAACUAUACUUUUGGUAGUUAGAAUCCUGUAAUUCCAAAGUCACGUAAUGUUAACAGUCCCCCUGGCAUUUCCCCCAAACCCAGUAUUUCUAAAGUCCUUUCAUGGCUUGUGACCGCUCUUUCACCCCCUUAAAAUCAAAAGUCUUUCUCACUCGAGGGCUGAUGCAGUGUUUCCACCCGCUGGGGCUGGCGGUGGGACUUCUCCUGAGGUUGGUGCUGGGUGCUCACGCCAACUCUUCCACGGCGAGGUGGCAUUCAACCAGGGCAUUGAACUCAUCAAGGGUGAUCGGGUCUCCCUGACCCACCCAUUUACGCAAGGGGGCUAGCAGAGACCGAAGGUAUCGAUCCAUGAUCAUUACUUUAAAUGACCCGGUGGACUGAGUUUUCUUCAGACUUCAGCCAUCUUUUAGCUAGGUGUAUCAAGUCAAACAUUUGAAAUUGCGGGGUUAAAGUGGGGUCGAAUCACCAGGCAUGGAAUCUCUGGGCCCUCAAUGCUGUCGUCACCCUGGCUCUUGCGAGGAUCUCUGACUUGAGCAGCUUAUAGUUAUCGGCUUCUUGUAGGUUGAGGUCAUAAUAGGCCUUUUGCCCAUCGCCUAUUAAAAAGAGCGUGAGGAUACUUGUCCAGGGGCCUCCCUUCCCGCGUUCUCGUCCUCUCAAAGGCAAACAAUUAUGCCUCGAUGUCGUCAUUGAUGGUCAUCUUUUGUAUUACGUGUGGAUCUGAUGUGACCAACACUGGUGGGUUGUACACUAAUGUGCCCAAGGUGUUUCCUGUUUCCUGUUGCAUUCUGUUGGUCUCCUGCUGCGUGGCUGUGGCAUGAGCCAGAGCUCUCACCAGUUAAUGUAAGUCCACCAUGUUGUUGCACAGUCACUAUAACAGAUCUGAUGUGGGUUUGUACUUUCAGUCUUCAGUCAGAAGAAUCCCAUGACUAACACCAUGUGUGAGCUAGGUUGCUCUGUUUAUAAGAAUGUCUGGCUGAAGUGGUGUACAAUGACCGGCAGGAGGCAGAAGUGACAAAGCAAGAGUUUUACUUAUAACAAAACAAACAGAAAUACUUUUAAAGAAAACAAAAGCCCAGCCCACUCAUCAGGGCCCUUCAGGGUAAGUUAUUUUCAGUGUACAGCCCUCUAGCCCACUCAUCAGGGCCCUUCAGGGUAAGUUAUUUUCAGUGUACAGCCCUCCUAGCCCACUCAUCAGGGCCCUUCAGGGUAAGUUCUUUUCAGUGUACAGCCCUCCUAGCCCACUCAUCAGGGCCCUUCAGGGUAAGUUCUUUUCAGUGUACAGUCCUCCUAGCCCACUCAUCAGGGCCCGUCAGGGUAAGUUAUUUUCAGUGUACAGCCCUCCUAGCCCACUCAUCAGGGCCCUAGCUAUACUUCGUCAGGUCUAUCUGAUAUCUGAGUUUGGCUAACACAACUCUCAAAUAAAACAAAAACAAAUGACUUCGCUGAUCCACUUAUCUUUUGGGUUGGUGAAGACGUACUGCAAUCUGUUCCCUCAUCCCUGGAGUGGAUGGCCUGACAAGUCGUUCCCAGCGUUAGGUGGAAGUUGGAAAAGGGGGCACAGCUGCGGUACAUUAAUUUAUCGCUCCAGAGGGAAAGCGAUGUGGCAACCACGGGUUGGAGGAGAAACGGUUGCACUUGCUAGCCAAGGGGGCGUGACUGAAGGUACAAAAAGGGGACAUGACUAGGUGAUCUGUUCCUUUGUUUAUGGUUAAGAGAACGCUAAAGGAUAAGCGAAAUAUUACUGUGAGUGUUUAGUGUUUGUUUGUUUUGUCGGUUCUAAUUGUACUGUUUGUUAUUAUUAGAUGGCUAACACGAUCCGGAGCUGUCGCUACAGCCCAGCACUAAACCCGGACAACACUGCACCAUUGUACACCGAUAAAUUGUAUUUCACCACGAGCACUAUAGCACUCACUCUGGACUUGUGAACAUGUGAGUCUUUGUGUGUGUUCUACUGUGUUUAUGAACUGUGUCUUAUUAUUUCGGGACUGCAGCCCGUUAUUUUGAAACAGUGCAAUACACAUUGCUGUGUAUUGCCUGGGAUUAUUCUUUGUGGUCACCAGACCAGGAUUAUAAAAAUAAAACCUGUCUGGAUAGUGAA